rnacentral:rRNA from 1 species
UAGUAGUUCGAUCCGUGCACGAGACACGCUGGCGGCGUGCUUAACACAUGCAAGUCGAACGGAGCACCUUCGAAAGAGACUUCGGUCAAUGGAAAAGAAUGCUUAGUGGCGGACGGGUGAGUAACGCGUGAGGAACCUGCCUUUCAGUGGGGGACAACAGUUGGAAACGACUGCUAAUACCGCAUAACGUACGGGUAUCGCAUGGUAUCUGUACCAAAGAUUUAUCGCUGAGAGAUGGCCUCGCGUCUGAUUAGCUAGUUGGUAGGGUAACGGCCUACCAAGGCGACGAUCAGUAGCCGGACUGAGAGGUUGGCCGGCCACAUUGGGACUGAGAUACGGCCCAGACUCCUACGGGAGGCAGCAGUGGGGAAUAUUGGGCAAUGGGCGAAAGCCUGACCCAGCAACGCCGCGUGAAGGAAGAAGGCUUUCGGGUUGCAAACUUCUUUUGACAGGGAAGAGCAGAAGACGGUACCUGUCGAAUAAGCCACGGCUAACUACGUG